CGUCCAUUUCUUGUAUUGGAUGAUGGUGACCUAAACCCUCACCAGAGUAACAAUUGGAGGGCAAGUCUGGUGCCAGCAGCCGCGGUAAUUCCAGCUCCAAUAGCGUAUAUUAAACUUGUUGCAGUUAAAAAGCUCGUAGUUGAAUUUCUGCGUUAUCGUUUUCGUUGCUUUUGCUUCGUUUCGAUUUCGCUUUUGGGGUUUUCCCCUUUUUACUUUGAGAAAAUUAGAGUGUUUCAAGCAGACUUUUGUCUUGAAUACUUCAGCAUGGAAUAAUAGAGUAGGACUUUGGUUCUAUUUUGUUGGUUUACGAACCUUAGUAAUGGUUAAUAGGAACGGUUGGGGGCAUUCGUAUUUAACUGUCAGAGGUGAAAUUCUUAGAUUUGUUAAAGACGAACUACUGCGAAAGCAUUUGCCAAGGACGUUUUCAUUAAUCAAGAACGAAAGUUAGGGGAAUCGAAGAAGAAAGAUACCGUCGUAGUCCUAACCAUAGACUAUGCCCACUAGGGAUUGAAGGUCGUCAUUUUUCCGACCCCCUCAACACCUUGCGAGAAAUCAAAGUCUUUGGGUUCUGGGGGGAGUAAGGUCGCAAGGCUGAAACUUAAAUGGAAUUGACGGAAGGGCACCACCAGGCAUGGAGCCUGCCGCUUUAUUUUGACUCAACACAGGGGAAACUCACCAAGGUCCAGACAAUGUUAGGAUUGGACAGAUUGAUAGCUCUUUUCUUGAUUCUUUGGGUGGUGGUUGCAUGGGCCGUUCUUAGUGUGAUGGAGAGGAUUUUGUCUGGUUAAUUUCCGUUUACCGAAACGAGACCUUUAACCUGCCAAACUAGAGUCCGUGUAUUGGGUUUUUCCCUUUUCCGGUUUGCUUUCUUAAAAGGGACUUUGGCAGGCAUCCUAAGCUCCCCAAGGAAGAUUGAAAGCAAAUAACAGGUCCUGGUUGAAUGCUCCUUAUGAGAUGCCUCCUUGGGGUGCUUCGUCCCACAGUGACACCAU
rnacentral:rRNA from 1 species